UGCUGUGCGGUGCGCUGCGUUACCGCACACCCUCGCAGGCUGAUGUAACCGUCGGGGUCCCGGGUCACUACUGCCCACUACAGACAACCUCAGCUCAGCCGUGCCCAGAGGGAACCCUGAAUCCCCUGGAUGGGGCAUUCUCUCCCACUGCAUGCCAACCUUGCCCAGCUGGAAAGUACUGCCCAGGAGAAGGCCGCUCGUACCCUGGCGGUCUCUGCUUAGCCGGCUAUUACUGUGAGGGUGGAGCCACCAAUGUCAUCCCACGCAGAUCAGCAGCAUUCCGACUCAAUAGACUCUGCCCAGUUGGGCAUUACUGACCAGAGGGGACUGUAGCACCUGUUCCAUGCCCAAUGGGGACCCUGGGAAACAUCUCUGGAGGUUCCUCAGAGAGAUCCUGUCAGCCUUGCCCUGCUGGGUUCUUCUGUGCCCAGGAUGGUCUUGACUCCCUACAGGCCCUUGUGCAGCUGACUUCUAUUACCCUGGUGACAUCAGCUCCUUCAGCUCCACGGCAUUCCUGUACCCCAAGGGUCAUUUCUGCCAGGAGGGUGCAGCUCGGCCAAUCCUGUGUCCCCCAGGGGAGUACCAGUCCAAACGAGGGUCGGAUGCCUGCAUCCCCUGCCAGCCAGGCUUCUACUGCCAAGAGGAGGUCACUGGGACCCCCAAGCUGUGUCCAG